AUGAGAACAAGGAAGCCCUCAGUGAUGCAAACAGUGAGGAUGGUGUUAGUUGCCUGGUGUUUAAUUUCGAAUCUCUUGAGGUUGAGGUUUCCAAAUAUUAUUCAAGUUGCCCUGAUAAGACACCCCAUGAAUUUCAUGAAUCUGGAUUCAGAAACGUCUGAAGUGGAGAGGGGACAGUGGCAUGCAAGGUAUGCUCUGCUGAUGGGGAUCUAACAGGCGUGGCUUGGCCCUGAACUGGUAGCAGCCACCUUACCUCUGGAUUUCAGCUAAGACAGUGUGGAGCUGUAGCCGACUGUCAAAGACUUCCCGAUUCCCAGAUCCCAGUGAGACUACAUGAUGCCUGUGCAGCAGGUGCCUCCUGGGUGUAGCAGCGGUACAGCUGGCCCCCAGUGGACUCAGUUCUGUGCUGUUGGCUUGCAGUCAAUCCUGGAGAGCUGGUCUUUCAGAUAGAUGAUGCUUUUGUCGACACAAUUUCCUUAUUAAAUCACUUCCUUCUUAAAAUGCUAGAGUAGUUUCUGUUAUCUUUAACUGAGCAAUGAUUCAUAUAAGGGCCCAGAGAAGGAGCCAUAAAUAAGUGACUAGGACCUCAUGUUGCAUAUUAAAUACUUAAGAAUAUUUUUCAAUUUUACAGAAUAAUAUGAUCUUCAUCAUUUUUUUUGAAAUGGAGUAUAUUCUUGAUCUAUCUUUUGUUUCUCCUCUUUAAUAGGCAUGUUAUAGAACUAUCUCUCUACUAAGAGGAUAAAGAACACUCUGCAAGCAUGGUGCUAAUUGGCAUCUGAUAAUUGGCUUCAGUUUUGGGCAUGUGUGGGGCAUGGUGUGGACUGUGGAAAACUCACAAUGGAACCAUGAGAUGAGAGGCUGUGACACUGGAGGAUAAGGGAACCAGAGGAGGAAGAGGGAAGUUGACUGGAAAGUAGUAUCCCAGACUAUGUCACACACAGCACAACCUCCUUCCCAGCACAGCAGGGAACAGUAGACCCCUUCCAUCUCACGAGUGAGUAUGGCAUUGAAUUGCAUGAAGGAAUGAAGCAGAAUUCAUAAAUGGAUGUCCUGCAGGCUAGACCUAAAACCCAACAUCAUUUAGUACUGCUAAAAUCAUAUUUAAGAAAUUUGAACCCACAUUGCAAAAUGAGAGUACACUCAAAAAUAUGGAUUUCUAGUUUUGCUUGAAAAAUCAGAAAAUCUGACAACGCUGGGAACACCCUCUCACAUGGCAAUGAACAGCUGGAGCUAAAUCCAAGGUUUAAAUCCAAGUUUCUCAUGACUCCAUGCUCAUCUUUAUCACACAAAUCAUACGAGCUGUGAUUGCCUCUUUGCUCACUGAUCUUUCCCACUGGAUUAUGAGGUGAGACUGUUUCUUUUACACCUGUACCCCUCCCACCCUGACUUACACAGUAUAUGCCUCUUAAAAUAUUAGUAAGUGUUUAUUGUGUGAGUAAUGUUGGGAGUCUAGCUAUCCGCUAUUAAUUCUGUUAAAAAAAUAUUUUUUGAAUUCCCACUCUGUACCAGGCACUGAGCUGGGAGCUCUUCACACACCCUCUCAUUCAUGUCAUAAACACAACGGCAUUGGUACAAAGAAGUCAAGGACAUCAAAGGAAAUAAAGUUGACAUUGACGAGACUCCUUCA
rnacentral:lncRNA from 1 species